UACGGAGGGCGCAAGCGUUGUUCGGAAUCACUGGGCGUAAAGCGCGCGCAGGCGGAUGUGCAAGUCGGAAGUGAAAUCCCGGGGCUCAACUCCGGGGCUGCUUUCGAAACUGUUCAUCUGGAGACCAGUAGGGGUUGGUGGAAUUCCCGGUGUAGCGGUGGAAUGCGUAGAUAUCGGGAAGAACAUCGGUGGCGAAGGCGGCCAACUGGGCUGGAUCUGACGCUGAGGCGCGAAAGCGUGGGGAG
rnacentral:rRNA from 1 species